AACUUAGAUGAACUAGGCCGUACUCAAGGCCCCUCUCAGGACUAUCUUCUUCUUCCAAAAAUCCUUCUCUUCAGAUCUCACCUCCGAGUUCUCCUUCUCGGAUUCCUCCUCCUCAGCUCUUCAGCGGGGUCCUGAAAUGGUUUCCCCAAACUGGGAUGAGACUACGUCUCAGCGAGUUCUACCCCACUAAGCCCGAUUAGUAAACUAUUAUACUAAAGGCCGCCUAAACACGCACAGGGCAGAGGACUUACCUUGGCCUCUGAUCCCACCUGCAAGUCAGUACAAUUCACAAUGAACACCCAUUCACUUCAAACAAAUCGAACCAGUCGAUUACAUGUCAUACAAAUCAAUCCCCGCUGUGGGAUAUUUAAAAGCUAGGCCACGUGUAUUCUCCAGGAUGACCUUCCAAGUCUCCGAGUCACGUGCCUCGAACCUUGGGCCCACGUCCAUUCUCUAAGGCGACCUCUUUGCCAAGGUGAUACAUCAAGUCACCGAGCCACGUGCCCUUUUAGAUGCCUGCACUUAGUCACAG
rnacentral:lncRNA from 1 species